rnacentral:rRNA from 1 species
GCGUGAGGGUGAGGCCUCUGGGCUGUAAACCUCUUUUCUCAAGGAAGAAGAUCUGACGGUACUUGAGGAAUAAGCCACGGCUAAUUCCGUGCCAGCAGCCGCGGUAAUACGGGAGUGGCAAGCGUUAUCCGGAAUUAUUGGGCGUAAAGCGUCCGCAGGCGGCCCUUCAAGUCUGCUGUUAAAACGUGGAGCUUAACUCCAUCAUGGCAGUGGAAACUGUUGGGCUUGAGUGUGGUAGGGGCAGAGGGAAUUCCCGGUGUAGCGGUGAAAUGCGUAGAUAUCGGGAAGAACACCAGUGGCGAAGGCGCUCUGCUGGGCCAUAACUGACGCUCAUGGACGAAAGCCAGGGGAGCGAAAGGGAUUAGAUACCCCUGUAGUCCUGGCCGUAAACGAUGAACACUAGGUGUCGGGGGAAUCGACCCCCUCGGUGUCGUAGCCAACGCGUUAAGUGUUCCGCCUGGGGAGUACGCACGCAAGUGUGAAACUCAAAGGAAUUGACGGGGGCCCGCACAAGCGGUGGAGUAUGUGGUUUAAUUCGAUGCAACGCGAAGAACCUUACCAGGGUUUGACAUCCUGCGAAUCUCUUGGAAACGAGAGAGUGCCUCCGGGAACGCAGUGACUGGUGGUGCAUGGCUGUCGUCAGCUCGUGUCGUGAGAUGUUGGGUUAAGUCCCGCAACGAGCGCAACCCACGUCUUUAGUUGCCAGCAUUUAGUUGGGCACUCUAGAGAGACCGCCGGUGAUAAACCGGAGGAAGGUGUGGAUGACGUCAAGUCAUCAUGCCCCUUACAUCCUGGGCUACACACGUACUACAAUGCUACGGACAAAGAGCAGCAAGUUCGCGAGGACAAGCAAAUCUCAUAAACCGUGGCUCAGUUCAGAUCGUAGGCUGCAACUCGCCUACGUGAAGGAGGAAUCGCUAGUAAUCGCAGUCAGCAUACUGCGGUGAAUACGUUCCCGGGCCUUGUUACACACGUCCGUCACACCAUGGAAGUGGCCACGUCCCGAAGCCGUUACUUCACCCUUGUGAAGCAGACGUCGAAGUGGGGCUGAUGACUGGGGUGAAGUCGUAACAAGGUAGCCGUACCGGAAGGUGCGGCUGGAUCACCUCCUAACAGGGAGACAACACAAUGAUUUUGAU